GUUACAGUCUUGCUUCCAGGAGUACUUCUGCUUUGUCUUGCUGCCAAAAAGUGGUGAUCAAUCUGUGACCAUUUACUGCACCUUUGUCUACCUGGAUAAUGCUGGAUAUAGGCAGGUUUCUCUAACUGCAAUCUGGUUAGCUCCCCAAGAGGACAGGUACUGAGUUAUUUACCUUCAGAGCUGCAAAGGCUCAGAGAAUCUGCAUCCAAACCAGAAACACAGUUGCCUUGAGAACACCUAUAAAUGCAUAUACGUCAAGAGUGGCAUGACACAGAAGGACCUGUUUUUGACUUACUGGACAUUGCAAACCACAAUUUUUUCUGCUUUUCCUGCAAGUUUGUUCCAGGCAAACAUGGUCCAACAGCAAAUUGUCACAGGGAUGAUUGAUGACACACCAGAGACUGAAGAAAAGCAAGAACUUCCUUCUGAUCAUAAGACCAUAAGACAUAAUAAGAUAAGACAUAAGACCAUAAUCUGAUGCAACAUUAAUUUAACAGUAUCUAUCUUCGCUGGAGCUAGGUGGUUUUGCCUCCCUUAAUUAGCCAUUGCCAAAGCUUACCACAUUCUUGCUAAUCACAGAAAAUGGUAGAUAACAAGGUAUCUGAGGUAUCUGACAUGGUUUUCUUUUCACUGUGAUGUAAAACAAAAACCCCAUAAAAACAGCGUCUCCUAAAUUAUGAUCUAGUAAUACAUUCCACAAGAGACUUUGAUUUUCAAAAUUUUCCCUUGCUGAGGUUAGAUAUUAAAAUAGUAAUAAAUACUACUACUAAAACCAGCAAAUUAAUGGUUUUCUAAGAGACAUACUGUGAGAGGAUGUUCGAGGGUGGAUAUGUUUAGGAAAAUAUGUAGCCCUCUGUGCAGCUGAAAACCCAGUCCUAAACUAACCGAUGCCAGGCACUCACAGCAGCAAAACAGUGAGUGGGAGAAAGGAGUGCAGAGUCUGCCCCAACACACUAUUGAUUUGCUCUGAAAUUAUGUGAAUUAUUACUGUUGAAUUCAUUAUUAGGAAUGAUGAUUUUAUUGGAGAAUUAGAUGCUGUAAGAAGGCCCCAUUAAUGUAAAAUGGAUUCUGCAUGCACUCUUCAAAGCUCCCUCAAAUGUGAAAUUUCCUCCAUUAUUUCAUUUGACAGAAAAUUACUGCUUCUGUAUCAAAUUUUUCUUCUGUUUACUGAGGUGGAACUUGAGUCUCAGUCUAGUACAAUUAAUAGGAACAGUCCAACUCCUGCCUUUAAAGUGCGGUACGAAGCACACUAUUAAUACACUUUUUUCUUUUUUGAAAUCACAUAAAUAAACAGAUUUGCUUUUGAAUAUGUUGCAUUGUACUCUGGAAUGCAUGAAAAACAUUUGAAAGAGU